UAUAAAAUUCAAAUGUAUACGAAUUAAGAAAAAAUGGGAAGAGUCUUUAUAUCGAUGGCAUUUAUAUUUAAUUUGUCGCAUCAUGAUUCAAAAGAACACCCGGAUAAUAUCAAAAAAUAUUAAAUUUACUAUACUGUAAUAAAACUUUAUAGCUGUAACCACUGAACUCAGUUAACUAUGUUGGACGAAACAUAAGCAUUAUUCUAACCUAUUCAAUUCUAUAGAUGAUUACGACUUACAAUAACAGUUAGAAAUCAAAAUGUAUCGUUAAAAUUAUAUAUUACAACUUCACAAGUUUAACCGCAUAUCCAAAAUAUUUAUUCUAUCGAUUAUCAUGGAGCUUACCAAAGGGAAAUUUUUAUCAAUAUUAAUAUUUAGUUGGAAUUAUAAAUAUUUCUUCCAUUGUAACUCACUGUAAUUAAAUUUUACAUGAAGCAAAUUAUCUUUUAUAAUAUAUA